AGAGUUUGAUCCUGGCUCAGAUUGAACGCUGGCGGCAGGCCUAACACAUGCAAGUCGAGCGGCAGCGGGAAAGUAGCUUGCUACUUUUGCCGGCGAGCGGCGGACGGGUGAGUAAUGCCUGGGAAAUUGCCCAGUCGAGGGGGAUAACAGUUGGAAACGACUGCUAAUACCGCAUACGCCCUACGGGGGAAAGCAGGGGACCUUCGGGCCUUGCGCGAUUGGAUAUGCCCAGGUGGGAUUAGCUAGUUGGUGAGGUAAUGGCUCACCAAGGCGACGAUCCCUAGCUGGUCUGAGAGGAUGACCAGCCACACUGGAACUGAGACACGGUCCAGACUCCUACGGGAGGCAGCAGUGGGGAAUAUUGCACAAUGGGGGAAACCCUGAUGCAGCCAUGCCGCGUGUGUGAAGAAGGCCUUCGGGUUGUAAAGCACUUUCAGCGAGGAGGAAAGGUUGAUGCCUAAUACGCAUCAGCUGUGACGUUACUCGCAGAAGAAGCACCGGCUAACUCCGUGCCAGCAGCCGCGGUAAUACGGAGGGUGCAAGCGUUAAUCGGAAUUACUGGGCGUAAAGCGCACGCAGGCGGUCUGUCAAGUCGGAUGUGAAAUCCCCGGGCUCAACCUGGGAACUGCAUCCGAAACUGGCAGGCUAGAGUCUUGUAGAGGGGGGUAGAAUUCCAGGUGUAGCGGUGAAAUGCGUAGAGAUCUGGAGGAAUACCGGUGGCGAAGGCGGCCCCCUGGACA
rnacentral:rRNA from 1 species